GACGAACCGUGCGAACGUUAUUCGGAAUCACUGGGCUUAAAGCGCGUGUAGGCGGGACGGCACGUCUGUCGCUGAAAUCCCCCGGCUUAACCGGGGAACUGGCGUAGAUACGACCGUCCUGGAGGGGCGUAGGGGGAUCUGGAACUUCCGGUGGAGCGGUGAAAUGCGUUGAGAUCGGAAGGAACGCCCGUGGCGAAAACGAGGUCCUGGACGCCUACUGACGCUGAGACGCGAAAGCCAGGGGAGCGAACAGG
rnacentral:rRNA from 1 species